UUUGAUCCUGGCUCAGGACGAACGCUGGCGGCGUNCNUAAUACAUGCAAGUCGAGCGGACUUAAAAAGCUUGCUUUUUAAGUUAGCGGCGGACGGGUGAGUAACACGUGGGCAACCUGCCUGUAAGACUGGGAUAACUUCGGGAAACCGGAGCUAAUACCGGAUAAUCCUUUUCUACUCAUGUAGAAAAGCUGAAAGACGGUUUACGCUGUCACUUACAGAUGGGCCCGCGGCGCAUUAGCUAGUUGGUGAGGUAACGGCUCACCAAGGCGACGAUGCGUAGCCGACCUGAGAGGGUGAUCGGCCACACUGGGACUGAGACACGGCCCAGACUCCUACGGGAGGCAGCAGUAGGGAAUCUUCCGCAAUGGACGAAAGUCUGACGGAGCAACGCCGCGUGAGUGAUGAAGGUUUUCGGAUCGUAAAACUCUGUUGUUAGGGAAGAACAAGUACGAGAGUAACUGCUCGUACCUUGACGGUACCUAACCAGAAAGCCACGGCUAACUACGUGCCAGCAGCCGCGGUAAUACGUAGGUGGCAAGCGUUGUCCGGAAUUAUUGGGCGUAAAGCGCGCGCAGGCGGUCCUUUAAGUCUGAUGUGAAAGCCCACGGCUCAACCGUGGAGGGUCAUUGGAAACUGGGGGACUUGAGUGCAGAAGAGAAGAGUGGAAUUCCACGUGUAGCGGUGAAAUGCGUANANNAUGUGGAGGAACACCAGUGGCGAAGGCGANU
rnacentral:rRNA from 2 species